rnacentral:rRNA from 1 species
AUUGAACGCUAGCGGCAGGCCUAACACAUGCAAGUCGAGCGGAUGAAGGGAGCUUGCUCCUGGAUUCAGCGGCGGACGGGUGAGUAAUGCCUAGGAAUCUGCCUGGUAGUGGGGGAUAACGUCCGGAAACGGGCGCUAAUACCGCAUACGUCCUGAGGGAGAAAGUGGGGGAUCUUCGGACCUCACGCUAUCAGAUGAGCCUAGGUCGGAUUAGCUAGUUGGUGGGGUAAAGGCCUACCAAGGCGACGAUCCGUAACUGGUCUGAAAGGAUGAUCAGUCACACUGGAACUGAGACACGGUCCAGACUCCUACGGGAGGCAGCAGUGGGGAAUAUUGGAAAAUGGGCGAAAGCCUGAUCCAGCCAUGCCGCGUGUGUGAAGAAGGUCUUCGGAUUGUAAAGCACUUUAAGUUGGGAGGAAGGGCAGUAAGUUAAUACCUUGCUGUUUUGACGUUACCAACAGAAUAAGCACCGGCUAACUUCGUG